CGGUGUUUAACUGGCGUGAUGUGGGACGUCCUACCGGUGGGCUUAGCCUCGCGAGGGGCGGCCCAACUAAUAUCCCGUCGCGGUGCUCUUUACUGAGUGUCGAGUCGGGCCGGUACGUUUACUUUGAACAAAUUAGAGUGCUUAAAGCAGGCUAUCCUCGCCUGAAUACUGCGUGCAUGGAAUAAUGGAAUAGGACCUCGGUUCUAUUUUGUUGGUUUUCGGAACCCCGAGGUAAUGAUUAAUAGGGACAGAUGGGGGCAUUCGUAUUGCGACGUUAGAGGUGAAAUUCUUGGAUCGUCGCAAGACGGACAGAAGCGAAAGCAUUUGCCAAAAAUGUUUUCAUUAAUCAAGAACGAAAGUUAGAGGUUCGAAGGCGAUCAGAUACCGCCCUAGUUCUAACCAUAAACGAUGCCAGCUAGCGAUCCGCCGAAGUUCCUCCGAUGACUCGGCGGGCAGCUUCCGGGAAACCAAAGCUUUUGGGUUCCGGGGGAAGUAUGGUUGCAAAGCUGAAACUUAAAGGAAUUGACGGAAGGGCACCACCAGGAGUGGAGCCUGCGGCUUAAUUUGACUCAACACGGGAAACCUCACCAGGCCCAGACACCGGAAGGAUUGACAGAUUGAUAGCUCUUUCUUGAUUCGGUGGGUGGUGGGUGCAUGGGCCGUUCUUAGUUGGUGGAGCGAUUUGUCUGGUUAAUUCCGAUAACGAACGAGACUCUAGCCUGCUAAAUAGGCGUACCUUAUGGUAUCGCGAAGGCCCCCGGCUUCGGCCGGUGGGUUUUUACUACCAACGUACAAACAAAUCUUCUUAGAGGGACAGGCGG
rnacentral:rRNA from 1 species